UGCAGUACGAGUAUGCCUCUAAGGGGAU
rnacentral:piRNA from 1 species